UGCAUUUGUAGCCCAUGAGGAUGAGAACCUCCGGGGGCAGGGAGGUUCGACUCGAGCGAAGCGAGAGAACGUUGCGCCAGCAACGGCCCGCAGGGCGAGCCACGAAGUGGCGAGUAAUCCUCUAUCACCGACCA
rnacentral:sRNA from 3 species